CAGGGUUAUCUGGGAAUCUGGAGAGAGUUCCAGUUCCACAUGGAGCUUAUCUGGGGGCAGCUCUGCAGGGUCGAGGGGAAGGCGGGUCGAAGCAGUGGGAGAUGAAAUCACACUCUCAGAUGUCUUCUGUGAUGGCCUUAGCACAGAUAGCAUUGUUUCUUCCAUUUCUGACAAGGAUUGUUUUAACUGCUCAUCUGCCUUUUGAGGAUAAAUUGGGUGCCAUGAGUAGUCAAUCGUAAACACAACACACGGGACUGUCCAGCAUUCAACCCAUCCAGCCUCUUCCUGAGUAAUGUUCCUCCACUUGGGUUUGCCUGUUUUCUGACCACUUGGACAUUCACCAGAAAUGCAAGAUUCAGGAUUUAUUUUAUUCGGUUGACAAUCUUUCACCAACAUAAAAAGAGAAUAUUUGCUAGGAUGACAAUCCGGUAGAUACAAAUGAAGAUCAACAUCUUC
rnacentral:lncRNA from 1 species